AAACGCAAGCUUUCUACACAUUUGGCUGAAAAGCCCAGCAGUGCACGACACACCACAGAGCCGUUGUCUUAAAGAGUCCGGGUCUACAUCUCACCUGAAGUCAACUAGAAGAGAGUCCAGCUCAUCAAUGACCGUAAUGAGGAUAGCACCGUAAUUUGUUUGGAUUCAAGCCAAGCUUCCGAAGAUCAAGACCCAUGGCUACCAGCAUCUGGAGCAAGGUGAAAUGGACAGCCUUUGGCUGGAGUUCUGUUGUUGCGAGUGGCUUCCAAGCUCCUGUCCCAGCAGUGCAGGGCCCGCGGCAGAGAAGUGCCUCGAACUUGGAAAGUCAUCCAGUUGCUGAGAGAACAACAAGCAGCUGUUCUUCAUCAAAUAGCCACUGCACAACAAAUAGAGGGGCUGCAGAGAAAACAAAAAGGUACUGUCACCGCAACUGGCAUUUAACUCAGAAAAAGUAAUGCUGAAGAAUGCGAUCACCGAGCUGAAAUGAAUUGAGAAAUCUCGAGCAAUCUGGAUGGACAUCAGUGCUUCGACAACUAUCACCCUCUUUUGCUUUGCUGUCUUGAAAUUUACUGUUAAUAUGCAUUUCUGUAGAACAUAUUCCAAAGUCUUUGGACUGAGGAACCUAACACCUCAAAUGAAUGCUGAAAAAGUUGGUCAUGCUGUUCUUGGCAUGAGUUUGAAUUUGUGGUGAUAACUAACAGAAACAAAGGUACACAAUUCAACACGAUUCAGCAGUUUUUACCUUUACAGUCUAUUUGUUUGGUUACUGAUUGUUUUGGCCCAGUCUUUACAUUCUGUAUUUUAUGGAAUUUCACAUUCUGCCAAAACAUUCUAGAUCCUUCUUCUCUUAUUGUCAACACCAAGACACGACUGAAGAAAGCAGCAGGUAUUGAGCAACCAACAAAUGCAAUCCAACCGUAAAAGGAGGGUAAACCCGGGUCACUCAAAUACCAUAGAAAAUGACAAUAUCAACAAAUAUUAGAUUAUUUUCCCCCCAAUAAUAAUUAACAUUUAAUGCCUGUUACCAUUUAAGGUGUAUCAUGCAACUAACAAACAAAAAAAUAAAACAGAAUGCAAACAAGCA